rnacentral:rRNA from 1 species
UACGGAGGAGGCAAGCGUUAUCCGGAAUUAUUGGGCGUAAAGCGUCCGUAGGUGGCUAGUCAAGUCUGCGGUCAAAGACUGGGGCUUAACCCUGGAAAGGCCGUGGAAACUGACGAGCUAGAGUGCAGUAGGGGUAGAGGGAAUUCCCGGUGUAGCGGUGAAAUGCGUAGAGCUCGGGAAGGAUAUCGGUGGCGAAAGCGCUCUACUGGACUGCAACUGACACUCAGGGACGAAAGCUAGGGGAGCGAAUGGG